UCACAAUCUCCCUGAAGGUUGUUCCAGUUGUGCUCUCGACCUACGAAAAGUGGCCAAUGGAUGUGUUUGACUUCCUCAAAACAGUACAAAAAUCUCCCUGACCUUCUGGAACAUCUUAUGGAAAAAUGCAGGGAGGAGUCUGCAUUAUGGGCUCCUGCUGUUCCCAGACUCUGCUCCCACGUGCUGCUUGGGCUCAGGAUGAUCCAUCCCUGUUUUAAGCAGCCAAGAAAAGCACCAACUGCGGCCCCCCAGGGGCCCAUGGAGUCACGGAGACUUCCUCUUUCACAGCUCUGCUUCUCUGUGGUCCCCGCGCCAGCUGUCUCCUGCUCUUCACGUCUAUUGCUUACACUCUAAAGCCUUUGAAUUUUUCUGGGGUCUUAACUUUAGGCAUCUGAGUCACAGCUAGUUAGUCUUCAAAUCACCAGGCAGUGGCUCAUGAAAUCUAAUUCUCCAUUACAAAAUGGCCAGCUCCUGGGGUGUUGAGCUCCGAGAGGCGUGACCCCACCACCACCUUCCGGGAGAUCCCUCAGAGCUACGGAGCUGCCUUAAAAGGGAAAAGUCCAACAAGUAAGAUGUCCGUUUCCAGCUGGAGAGAGAAUCCUCAGCCAUCUGCCGGAGCUUCAAGAGCUUCCCCUGAAAUCGAGGAUCUGGAUUAAGCCUUAUAAGGAAUAAAAGUGUUUAGUGAUCUUCCAAGCUGGGACGUUGUUGCAAACGGGUGUUUCUUCAAGCCUCAAGACAGCGAGGUGGGCGUGACAUUGUCCUGCUGCAGGGUGACUUUUCAUGCCAGCCAGUCUCUGAAACCCAUGGAGAUGACUCACCCUAACUUCAGGGGAGAUCCCACGUGCCCUGGAUCCCAAGCUAUCACCUCGUGGCCUCUGCUGUUGACCUUGAGAAGCCUUUCAUCAGGCAGAUUUUGAUGCAAUGUAAGUAAACCUCUCUUGGGACAUUGGUCAAGUUGGAGGGAGGGUUUAAGGUUUAUAGAGUUUACAGUUGCUCUCUGAUGACCUAGUACAUCCAUCUAUCUUUCAUGUGUUCAAGUCGAUGCAUUAGGAUUUAUGCUCAGGAGAACUGGUAUUUUCCCUUAAUUCUGAAAAAUUUCUAGUUAUUCUAUUUUGGAGAGUUUUUUCUUCCAUUUUCUUUAUUUCCCCAUCUGGAAUUCCUAUUCCAUUUUAUGAUGUUGGAAAGUAGUUUUGCCCUGCGUUUCUGCUAAAUCUUGAAAUAUAUAUUUAUGUGCCUUUCAUGUAAAUAUUCAAUUCUAUGUGCCAUGUGUUUAUUUAAUGUAUUUAAAAGCAAUUAUUCAGCACUUACAUUUUCUAGGUAUUACACACAUACAAUUUGAUUCUUUAAAACACCCCUGGAGGUAAUAUUGAGAACAGCUCUGGAACAAUCAUUUUAUCUCUACUCUGCUUUGUAUAACGUCCUCAUUCCCUUGAUUUUUCAUUUCCUGUAUUUGGUCAUUUUUUAUAUCUUACUGGCUUGUUGGUUAUAACUAUCACAGAAAACUUGGUCCUUGACCCGAAUGCCAAUCCAGUAACCAGGGAAUGAUUUUGACAAAAAGGAAAAAGAAGGUUUAUUGCUUUGGUAGCAAAGGAGAAACACAGGGAGUCCUGUCCCAGGGCUGUGGCAUCAGAGGGAACAGGGAAUUUUUAAAGAGGUGAGUCAAGGAAAUCCUGUUUCCUGGGAUUAGGGAGGAGAAGAUUAGGGAAAGAAGGUUGGGGAAAAGGAAAAAAAAAAUUCAAGCGUUUUAGAGCAACAAGCGAUAUAGUCGAAGCCUAAGCUGACCGCUGUGGCAUAGCUUGGCUUUUCCCACACCCCGAGUCCCUGUCUGGUGCUUCUGCUGCUGUUUUAAGUGUCUUUUUUGUCCCUUGGCUUCCUCAGGAGGUCCACCUCCUGAGUCCUUGGACAUCUCACUGGCUGGUCGUGUUUCCAGACUCUUGCCUCAGUAGGCUCUCUGUCUCACAGGCCAUUUUGAGGGCAGUGAAGUUGUGCCAGAGACCUGACAUUCACCCAUGGUACUGUCUCACAGUGCCACUCCUUGCGGGGCCUUGUCUCCUGCUCUUGUACCCCUGAGGCUACAGUGACAGCUACACCUCCACCCUUCUUAUCAAGGCUCUCCCGAAUUCUGCUGGACUUUUCUCUUACUUUCCUGAAGUCUUGUCUACCUUUAAAAUUAUGUACGCUGUAAUGCAGCGAGCAUGUCUGUUUCUCAACUGAUGGGCAAUGCUGCGUAGCAUCCUGUGAACCAAUCCUGCAACUGAUGAUGUGAACCCUGAAGCCUGUCUGCCUUGGUUCAAACCCAGGCCCAGCACUGAGCAGACUAUUAAAUGCUUUAUAACUUCUCUGUGCUUCAGUUACCCCAUUUGCAAACUGGUAAGGAUCGUCUUGCCUAGCUCAUCAUGUGCGUAAGGAAUAAAUGAGUCCACAUUUGCAGGUUUUUAGAGCCGUUCUAGGCUCUGUGUAAGUGGCAGCUAUCAUUAUAAUUGCUUGAUACUCAGGAUUUUACAAUGUUGCCAGAAAUAUAGGUCCCCUUCCAUGCCAUUUUAAUAUAAUAAGCACUCUUUCAACUGUGUUUUAAAUAAUCAGUUCAACUCUGUUUAAUAAAAGUUUCAUUUUACACUGGUAUAUUAUGUACAUAAAUUGUCUGGUAAAGUGCAAUUUCUACAUAAGACUCGAGACGUAGAUAAUGUCUGUAGCUAGAAAAUGGGGAAAGCGGAAGUGCAGGUAACUCAGAGGCUCAGCACUGAUGGAGGGUUCGGGUUUCUCUCUGUCUCUCGGCAUCCUUGCCCUUCCCAUUUGUUAUGAAAACAGGGGUUCUCAUCUUCAGCUUGGGUAACGAUGUCUCCUCCAGGGCACCAUGAGACACUGGCCCUACCUCCCCCCCAGUUCCUCUUGUCAGGAACCUGGGGCGCUAAGUCCAGGAGGGCAAAAGGAGAGAAGCCAGCGCUGAAGUUGAAACUCUAAACGACACCAGGAUGUGUACAUCACACACAGAGUAGGUGAGUGGCAUAGGCUAUGUUUAGGAGCCAUGGUUACAGCCAGGAAAAAUCUAAGACUGCCCUGCACUCACCACCUUUGGAUCUGCAGGUAGACCUGGCCUUGUGGGCACUGGAUGCAAUGAGAGAAAAAUAUAUUUCCAGCAGGCACUGGGAAAAGCCAAUCUAGCCCCCAUGCCCGCCACGUCUGGAUUCAGGCACCUUGAAGGAGAGGAUUGUGCAGUCCAACCAACAUGCAACUCAUCACAGCACCAUUCUGAGAUGUGUUUCGCCAUUUGAAAUUCACUGCUGCUGCAACAGGGACUUCUGCAUUUCCUCACAACCCUGUCAGAGACAGAGUCUGCCCCCAGGUGGAGCACAUGACAUUGACCACUCUCUAGAUGGGCAGCCCUGGGCAGCUGCAGCUCGCGCCCAUUCUGUGCGAAGGCUUAAGCUGAGCAGAGCUCUGCAGACAUCUCCACGUGAGCUCUGGGGAUUCGAUCUCUUUAAAAGUUACAACCGGUCACAUGAACAUUUGUUUUGUUAUGUUCUUUUUCUACGAGCAAAAAGCCAUUGAGCAUUUCCCUUUGAACCCCUUUUCUUUUCCUCUUCUCCAUGAGAAUGAGAUUCAAUUUAGUCUUGUUCACAGGAACAUUCAGAUGCAUUAGCCAUGAACUGCAGGCUUGGAAAAUAUCUUUCCAUCGGAAUUCCUCUUUCCUUAUUCUUCACAUGUUCUUAAGGCUUCUAUUUCUGGUGGUAUUUUGUCCUCGGUCACUAAAAGGAGUCAGUCAAAUUGGAUGGGUUCCUUCUCAAAGCCAUGACCCAGGGUUCUGGCCAACCACAGAGGCAUGGAGAUGUUGUGCUGGGGUGGAGGUAGGAGGGGAGGGUUGGUGGGUAAAGACCCACCAGUGGUUUAUGUUUCAUCCACAGUGUUUCCCUUAGAGAAAAAUUUUGCUCUGUGAAUAAAAAUAUUCAGACAGGAGCUCAAUAGGCCCUCUCUGCCCAGACCCUGUGUCCCCAUGUUGGUGGCAUGACCCUUCCUCCUGAGUCUUUGGAGAGGGGGAUUCUGAGUGAUCCUCAGGCCCCUGUCCUCCAUGUCUUUGUGCCAUGGUUACAAGGCUCUGCUAGCUUAUUCUGCUUUCAUGAAAUCCUUAUUUCUUCCAUCCUGAUUCCCAGGUGCUGGAAGACACUGGUUCAUUCCUUAACAUGGGUCCAUUCAUCCUCCUGGAUGAAUAAAAGGAGUCCUCAUGAGGAUCGACAUCCAGAAAGAAGAGCCUGUAAGUCACAGGAGAGGUGACAAUUCCCAGAUGGUGCAGGAUCCAUCAGAGGCAGCACUAACAGGCAGAAAAGGCAGGGGCCUCACUGCCCACAGGCUGCCGUCUCAGCUCUCUUUAGGGGAAGUCCAAGAUGCAGCAAAGAGCUCAGAACCACAGAGGACCAGCACGUGCACCUGCGAUGUCUGCGUCUUCUCUCUGGUUGUUUAAGGGCGCUGUCUAGACACAUUAGGCUCUAAUCUCAUUUGCUCUGCCCUGUGAUACGGCAAGCUGUGACCCUUGCUGGGAAGCUGUCUGCCAUUCUCUCCAUCCUGAAUAGAGGUUGAAAGGGACACAAAACCUUGGGCUCUGCCACAAGAGAUGCUGCUGCAUGGAGAAUUCUAAAAACUGGUUUAUGAGAGUUGGAAUCGGGGAGGAGAAGUAAUUAAGGGAAAUAUGCAGAGAGCAUGAAUCUGCCUGUCCUUCCCUUAACUUUGCUGCAUUCUGCAGAGGGCAGGGGGCAGAGGCUAGAGAGGGACAGGGAUUUGUCCCAGCUUCCGAUACACCCCCUCCCCUGCACCACCCUGCCUUCCUUCAGCUGCUCUACCUGCCACCUUGUGUUAAGUGAAUUUCAGUUGCUUUAAAUUAAAUGUCUUCAUGCCAAAUGUAGACAUGCAAAAUUUAGGUACAGCCCCUCUCACACGUGGCCUGAGCUGCCCUCAUACCCGGAGGCUGCCUCACCAGCCAUCCCAAGGCUCUUGGCUCCGGGGUUCAUCCUGCUAGGAAGAGAUGGAGAGCUCAAUGCCCCACACCAGUGUCCAGCCCCCGGAAAGCAAGGCCUGAAAGGAUGCGAUCACUGGAGGACUGCUUUGUUUUCAUUGGAACUUACGUAAAUCUGUUACAAGUCACUUUUUUUCCUUUAACUUACAUUUUUGAUCAGGGAGCAUGUAAAUAUUUACCUGUAAAGGUAAAAACAUUAAGUCUUCUAUGGGUCUGUGUCUUGAAAUCCCAAGUGAUUUUGAACUCACCUGUUUACUGUUGGUUUGCUACAGUGUCCAGGACCAAGAUUGAGAGGAAGGGGGGGCACAAAAGACCUCUGGCUGCCUGCCCAUUGUGUUCUCCUAUAGAAAGCCAACAGUGGGAGCAGGGCCAGUGGCUUGCCUGCCCUCCCCCAGGAGCUGUGGCUGUUCUCUUAGGAAGUGCUGAUUCUGGGCUGGCCACAGGCCACCACUAACACGCUCAGGCCUCCUAUCCUUAGCACGAGUCUGCCUGUGGCCCCAGUGAUACACUGCAGUUUGGUCCAGAGCCCUGGCCAGACUUAAUCAGUGGGUGCACAGGACUUUCAUUUUUAGAUGCAACUGAUCCAGCGAAAUUUUUAAAAUCAUACUCUAAUUGUUAAAAUUUCAAAUAUAAUCUAUUUGGAGUUUCCAAAAAUUCUUUGGAAAAAUGUCACCCCCCCCCCUUGAUUACAUUUGUUUUGUAUAGUCUGGGGGAACAAAUAUGUACAAAAGGAGUUGAAGGUGUAUGUGUGAAGGGAAUGUAGAGGCCCUCAUGUCACUCUGGACUGUGGACCUGUUUCAUCAGCUGUGUGCUGUCUUCCUUCAUUGAAGGUUGUGAUUAAACCUCCCUCCCACAUCUAAGCCAGCCCUCUCCUGAAUGUCAGUACUUCUGUGCCACCUCUGCCCCCACACUGCAGUCCUGAGACAGAGCAAUCAAAGGAAGCAGCUGCCUGUGGUCUGCAGGUGGGUCCCCAACCGAGGCCUAUCAACGUCCUCCCCGACUCUCAGUGGUCGAAGGUCUAUCCAUCCUCUGUGUGACAUGGUGCCAUCCCACACUGUAGAAGCAGCAGGCAAAAGAGGUGGCUGGACAGGGCCCUGCACUACCCACUGGGCGGGGGCUGCGCUGGGUGUGGGUCCCAGUGUCCUUCAUGAAGGCUGUUUGUCAGGACCCGAGAGGAGCAGGCGGGGGAGGAGGGCUCCCUGGACGUGUUCCACUCCAUCUUCUCUGAAGCCUCAGGUAGACCUGCCAAUUUGGCAGGUGAAUAAGAAGUUCCCAGCUUAGAUUAAAAAUUUUAAUUUCAUUAAAUAAUUAAAGAUGCUUUUCAGGAACAGCUGCCUUCCAAGUGCUGUCACUGUCCUGGUGGCGUGCACCCCUCCUGUCUGUCCCUUCGCCUUUCCUGCCCCUACCCUGCUCCCCCAUGGCUCCGUUCAGGGGCAGCACCUGCCUAAGGAAAUCGUGUU